CAGCAACUACAUGAAAUACAUGUAUGGAAAUCAUCCACAAUCUAUUGUUGAUGAGUACAAAUGGACGGAGUUUGUUCUCUCGGUGCAAGGGGGAAUAAUAGCUCACAGUUAGGCCCUAUACACAACAGUCACACCUCACUGGAAACCAUUACGGCAACGGAAACCAAAUCAUUGCAGGAGGGCAGUGAGAGAGGACCUCUUAAUGUGUGCAGAGGACACGGUUGACAUCCAAGAUCCAAACCAGAGCCUGGAUUCAAAUACGAACUAAAGAAAUG